rnacentral:ncRNA from 1 species
AUAUAAAAUAAGCAACGAAUCGCAAAGCCACGGAUCUAAAGACGUAAAGCAGUUGUCCAUGAUAGCCGGGUUGCCAUA